rnacentral:rRNA from 1 species
GAUGAACGCUGGCGGCGUGCCUAAUACAUGCAAGUCGAGCGAACGGACGAGAAGCUUGCUUUUCUGAUGUUAGCGGCGGACGGGUGAGUAACACGUGGGUAACCUACCUAUAAGACUGGGAUAACUUCGGGAAACCGGAGCUAAUACCGGAUAAUAUUUUGAACCGCAUGGUUCAAAGGUGAAAGACGGUCUUGCUGUCACUUAUAGAUGGAUCCGCGCUGCAUUAGCUAGUUGGUAAGGUAACGGCUUACCAAGGCAACGAUGCAUAGCCGACCUGAGAGGGUGAUCGGCCACACUGGAACUGAGACACGGUCCAGACUCCUACGGGAGGCAGCAGUAGGGAAUCUUCCGCAAUGGGCGAAAGCCUGACGGAGCAACGCCGCGUGAGUGAUGAAGGUCUUCGGAUCGUAAAACUCUGUUAUUAGGGAAGAACAUAUGUGUAAGUAACUGUGCACAUCUUGACGGUACCUAAUCAGAAAGCCACGGCUAACUACGUGCCAGCAGCCGCGGUAAUACGUAGGUGGCAAGCGUUAUCCGGAAUUAUUGGGCGUAAAGCGCGCGUAGGCGGUUUUUUAAGUCUGAUGUGAAAGCCCACGGCUCAACCGUGGAGGGUCAUUGGAAACUGGAAAACUUGAGUGCAGAAGAGGAAAGUGGAAUUCCAUGUGUAGCGGUGAAAUGCGCAGAGAUAUGGAGGAACACCAGUGGCGAAGGCGACUUUCUGGUCUGUAACUGACGCUGGUGUGCGAAAGCGUGGGGAUCAAACAGGAUUAGAUACCCUGGUAGUCCACGCCGUAAACGAUGAGUGCUAAGUGUUAGGGGGUUUCCGCCCCUUAGUGCUGCAGCUAACGCAUUAAGCACUCCGCCUGGGGAGUACGACCGCAAGGUUGAAACUCAAAGGAAUUGACGGGGACCCGCACAAGCGGUGGAGCAUGUGGUUUAAUUCGAAGCAACGCGAAGAACCUUACCAAAUCUUGACAUCCUUUGACAACUCUAGAGAUAGAGCCUUCCCCUUCGGGGGACAAAGUGACAGGUGGUGCAUGGUUGUCGUCAGCUCGUGUCGUGAGAUGUUGGGUUAAGUCCCGCAACGAGCGCAACCCUUAAGCUUAGUUGCCAUCAUUAAGUUGGGCACUCUAAGUUGACUGCCGGUGACAAACCGGAGGAAGGUGGGGAUGACGUCAAAUCAUCAUGCCCCUUAUGAUUUGGGCUACACACGUGCUACAAUGGACAAUACAAAGGGCAGCGAAACCGCGAGGUCAAGCAAAUCCCAUAAAGUUGUUCUCAGUUCGGAUUGUAGUCUGCAACUCGACUACAUGAAGCUGGAAUCGCUAGUAAUCGUAGAUCAGCAUGCUACGGUGAAUACGUUCCCGGGUCU